UGGUUGCUUCAACGGUCACCGGAAAGCCGGCACGGAAUCUCUCUGGAGUCUCUAAUAUUCCAGCAUCAACUCGAGAUCGAGGCCGCAGUCGGAGCGGCUGUGUUGGGCGCGGGCGUUGCGGCGCUGGGCGAGUGCGCGUCACGACGAGUUGCGUGCCGCUGUUGCUGCCGCGACAUCGCGACGCUGGGCCAGCGCUGGCACCUCGCAGAUGCCGGCGAUCGCAGCCACGCCGGGCCUUCCCUGCGCAUACAAUCUUCGUGCAGGUGUCCAGCGCAGGACGGGGCCGAAGAGGAGCGCGGGCAGCUUGCUAGCCUGACUUCGGCGCGCGCCGUCACGGCCGCGCGACAGCCGCCCUGCAGCCGGCGCGCCUGCCGCAACGGCGGCAAGUGUCUGCCUCAU